rnacentral:lncRNA from 1 species
UCCUCAUACAAAAAGGGAGUUCCGGUCACUUGUUUCUUUUCCUCGCAUUAGAGAUUCAACUUAUAGUUAAUUCUCUAACCGGUGUUGUACAGAUGCUUCCCAUUAAUGGGUUCAAACACUAAAUCCCUCUCACUGAUGCAACUUGCAAUGACUCAUACCUCUCACCUAGCACUUGCCAUUCAAGGUGAUCUUUAACCUUGGAUUCCCCUUCACAAACUCGCAAGAGAUAACUAAUGGAUGUCUCCUUGGAGUCCAAAAGCUUACCAAGUGUUGGCUAUUCUAGAAAAUCCUACCUUCAAGUCACCUCCCAAAGGCUCGCAAGGGGUAAACUAGUGCAUCUCUAUGGUUGGAGAUCACUUGCCUUACCAAGUGUUGGCCCAAGUGAUUUAAAGGCGUUUUAAGUUAACUAAAAAGAUAAAAACCAUUAACGGGUUACACUUACUCUUCAUUAAAAACUAAAACAACAAAACUUCCAAUUUAUUCAUGUGGAAACUUACCCAGCUUUCCUCACUCCAAGAGACAAAAAGCUUAGCCUCUCAUCCUCUGAGGAAAAAUCCUCAGAGUUUGGUUGGCUAGAAAAUGAAAAUGAAGGAGAAGACAAGAAUAUAUAUCAAAAACAGAGCAAGUGCUCUGUUCGUUGAUUCUAUAUAUUGGAUUACAUAUUACAUAUCUGAUGAUGAUACAGUGGAUGCAAGGGAGUUUAUAUAGGAAGGUAAUUUACCCUUCCUUGGAUACUUUCUAGCUAAGGAAUUACAUGAGUGGUUGAAUACAAGGAGAAAAUGGAAAUUUAUACAAAAAUAUCUGAAGAAAAGAUCUAAAAGAGUCGGUGCAAAAAUAUCGGGAAGCUUCAGGAACAUUUCGCAGGUGAAAAAUGGUGUCUGCGAGAUUUCGCAGACACUCAAGAGGGCUGCGAAAUAUUUUCGCAACAACAAGUUAAACUCGCAGGGCUGCGAAAUUGGCUUCCACCUUGAGGUUCUCAGAGCUCCAGCUUGCGGCAUGUAUCGGGUAGCUUCAGGAGGAAUUCCAUAGCACUGUACAAAAAGGCUGCGAAAUUCUCGCAACAAAAGGCUGAUUUCGCAACACUUUGGAGUGAUCUGAUUGCAAUGGCUGUAACUCCUUCGUUUCAACUCCGAAUCGCGCACCGUUUAAAGCAUUGGAUUCUUGACUUCCUGAUCUUUGAAAUGGUAUAUAGAAUGUAGAAAAUGGACUUCGGAAAGUGCUCCAAAAGUGCAAAAGAAGACUGCAGCUGGCUUUCCUCUGUUUUCUUCACUCUGUUUUUCCUCUCUCCUUGCUUCUCUCCUUGCAUACUUUGAACGACUUUGGCAAAGGGCUAUGGAGCUCCAAAGCUUGGUUCUUCAUGAAUUUGAGCUUCCAUAAGCUUUGCCAUGGAUUCCAAAUAACUCUCCUCAAUCUUGGAUUGUUUUGGUGAUCAAAUUACUAACAAAAACACCAAAACUUACACAAUUUGCUUAGAAAUGAUUGCAAGGGUCCUUAACAUGUUAAUUGGGUUAAAAGACAAUAACUACUACUCAAAAGUGUUUAAAAGGAUUAAUUACAAGCUACAAAAUAGCACUUUUUGAGUAGUAAUCACCCCUAUACAACCUUACGUAAUUAUCAAAACGCCCUUAUGCACAAAAGUGAACUUAGAGCCAAUUCAACCCUCAUAACCCAUGCCAACAAGGUAUAUGAGUUUAAAGCGGGGACCAUUGGGACCCAUAGAAAUACUGACUCCCUCAAAAUCCAAUUCUAAAGUUGAUUCAAUAUCACACUACAAAGAAUCAACUAAACUCCAAUAUCCUAUGUAAAUAACAACGAGACACUAAGUGAUCGGGUCCGUGACCUGCUAUCCAUUGUGUGCAGUCUCCCCAUGAACUAAUGUCCGUAGUUUAAUAAGGUGAAAGCUAUUAGUCUUUCAAGACUACCUCUACCUCCUAUUUUGUGUUCAAUUGACAUAUCUUAGCUCUCAAAGAGUCUAUGUCAAGUCACAUUUAAUGAACUACAUGACCAUAGUUUCCAUGAACACACCUCCUUAAAAUCACCCAAAGGGACACACUGUCUCAAUCCCAAGAGAUAUCAUAGUGUCUCUAUUAAAAAUACCUAUUACUACCAGCUUCUAUCAACAAUGACCCAAUCCAUACGGAAUAUAUGAUCAACUUAUGAUUUCACACGUAGGUCAAAGUCAUUACCAACUUUAGCACAAACUCAAUAUUCUCUCAAGGUUGAGAGACAACACAAUGAAACAGCUUGGUGAGGUCAUGACUCAAUAAUAGCCUUAAGUCGUGACUCACCAUAGGUCUUAUCCAACGUGUAACCAUACACACUAGUGCACUCACCAUGGGAAACCCAUCCCGAUAACCAAGACCAGUGAUCCCUCCAAUUAGGAGGUGGUGCACUACAACCUUUAAUGGGUUGCCUAGACCCAUGAACCAGUUGUGAACAAGUCAUCUAUUUGCAAGGAACCCGUGACUUAGAUCUUCUAUGCAACUCCUAAUGCACCUAAGUCACGUACAAUACAAAAAAUGCAAACAAGAAUGCUCAUAAAGUAUAAUAUAUGGAAUAAGAAUAGAUAAAAGUGAAACUGGAACAUCAUUAAAUAAAUAGUGAUGUGGACCCUCACCUAAUCCACCGACCAACACGACUCGCUAUUUUAAAGGUGAAAGGGAAAGUUGGUUUUCGAGUUUUGAAAAAUUCGUCCCACUAAGGAACGGUUUUGUUUGGAGUCGCCACUUACUUUUUAUUUUUAUUUUUAAAUGGGGAAAAUUUAAGUAAGAACAAAAACCCCAGCAUGACUCCAGUCAGGAAAAAGCGGUCUACGAAAACUAGAUUCUGGGUCCGAGGAUCAGGUUACUUAUCAGGAAGGUACCUCAUGCGAAGUAGAACCUCUCUAGGCCCGAAACUCGGUCUCUACUAAUGAACUGGGUAUAUGGGAGAAAAUGGGUCAAAGAUCAAACAAACCUUGGGUUAAACAAUUGACAUGAAUCACAUAGACGCGCCUAGUAUUUAACAUGCACAUACACUCAACAAGUCAAAAUCAGAGAGCAUACCUGAGGUCCCCAACCAAGCGCUGCAUAAGAGGUCAGUCAAUAAGCUCAAAUGCAUAACAAAUAUACAUAACAAUCAUGCAUCAAGCAUUCAUGUGAAUUUCAUUAUCCAAAGCCGAAGUGCAUACCUGUGGUCCCCAGCCAUGCGCUGUAAGGAAAAGGUGAGGCAAGUAAUACAAGCAUACAACAUGCACUCUCAAUCAAACAUCAAAUCUCAUACCUAAAAGGGAGGGAAGCGGGUCGAAAUGAAAUAAAUGGUUUGCUUUCUUUUACACACAUUUCUCUAAAUUCCAUCAAACCAAACCAUGCUCGCUUAAUCCACAUUCUUCCCAUCCAUGAAGUGGGCUCACAUGAAAUCUAACCAAACCGAACUUUGACCCUCAAAGUGGCCCACAAGUGCCUUGGAGCCAAAGGGCUCAAGCCACAACAAAAAUGGAAGUCAAAACAUGCUAAAACUGGGACUGCCUAGCACAACUUGUUGAACCGGUUCCCAACUGGUUCAACCAAUUGAGAAAAAUUAUGAAACUUUACCAACAGAUUCCUCGAAGAAUAAGGAAUCCAAAAAAAAUGGCGCUCAAUUCUAAGCCCGAAUGAGAGAGAAUUGGCCGAAACAAUACAAUGUGUUUAUAAAACGGGGUUGCCUAGCAAAACCUGUUGAACCGAUUCCCAACCAGUUCAACCGAUUGAGAAAAUUUCUGAAACUUUACCAACAGAUUCCUUGAAGAAUAAGAAAUCCAAAAAAAAAAAUAGCACUCAAUUCCGAGCCCGGAUGAGGGAGAACUGGCCGAAACAAUGCAACAUAUUUAUUUUUCACUUCAACAAUGGAGACAAGUGAGUGGGUUGGUCAUGCAGGGGUGCAUAGAAAAAUGGUCAGCUAGCUACCGUCAACGGGACUCCCAUCUAAAAAGCUACUCGAACCUGCUCCUAUGUAUCCUGAAGAGAGAAUGGGGGGCCUCUAAGGAGUGGCGCCGCUCAUGCCAUGGCAGCAAAGGAAGCCAUCCUGUUCAGGCAUUAAUCCAUUAACACAAAACCUUCCAGAACUGGACAGGCUUAUCUCUUAUAUCCAAGCCUCUGUCAUUCUCCAAUACAUGCUCAAACACAUAAACAAGGACUCUAACACCGUAAAAAAGGAGUAGAAAGCAUAGAUGAAAACAUUAAAGAAAAAAAAUCCCAAGGAAAUGUGAGCAAAAGAUGAACAUAAAUAGCCUCAGUUCAGGGGUAGAUUCAUGGGCUGAAAAGGGGAAACGAUUCAAAACAGAUUUUUAACAUGGAAAAAAUCAAAUGAGAUCAAUGGCAUCAACUGAAUGAAUAACAUAGCAAACAGACAAAGAACCAAUUUCAACCUAACAAUUUGUGGCCCUUUUCAUCUACACCAAUCAAUAAAACAUUAAAUAUUCCGAAACAACCAGAAUGGGGAAUUGAAUAUAAGCAAGAAUUCUGAGAGUAAUUAGAAACGUACCUUGAAAGAACCACUCUUUGAGAGGUGUUCCUCAGCUUCAAGUGAGAUUGAUUUUCCUUCUGCAAAAUCCACGCAAAACCUGUGAUCACGAUCUCUUUUUCUUUUUUCCAAAUCAAACAAAAAUUCCUUUUUUUUUUUUCCUCAAGAUCUUUUUUCUUUUCCCAUUCUCUUUGUUUUUCUUUAAAAAUCUUUCCCACUUUUCCCUCUCAGACCUCCGUUUUUCUUUUUUUCUAGGUGCCAAACCCUUAGAGACCGCUAGACUCUUUCCCCACGCUUUCAGUUUCCCUUCCUGUAGAGUCUCCCCCUAGAUUUCUCAAAAACCCCCAUUUUUUUCCUCUCCAAACGUCUCUUUUUUUCUUUCCCUCUCCAACUUCCCUCCUCAAUAUCUAUACCACACCUUUUUCUUUCCCCUUCAGCUCUGGAAAUCCCCACCUUCAACCUCAAAACCCCAACUCAUUUAGCUCCCAUCUUCCUGAGGUGGGCAACUGCCCCUCAUAACUUCAUAAUUCCUUGUCAGCCAAGAAUCCACAUGGAUUCAAGGUGGGUUGCAAUCAACCCGAAAAAAGGCCCAAAUCGGACAUAAAACCAUCCUUCUAACCCAUCUGGAGCACCAAGGCUCAAACUAGCCUGAACAAAGGCACCAAAAAUGCCCAAAACAGAGUCGUUCGCAAGCAGCCUCGACGAACCACCUAAAAAAAAACUUGUCGAAUCGGUUGACCAUCUAGUUGACCGGUUGAGAAAAAUUCUCAAAUUUUGAUACAAUUCCUUGAAGAAUAAGGAAUCCAAAAAAAACGGUAUGUGAUUCCGAGUUCAAAUGAUGGAGAUAUGAUAGAAACUAGCCCAAGUGCUCCGUAUUCGAACAAGCUCCUAUGAACUCCAACUGAACUAAAGUUUUGAGGAGACCUCAAUUCCUUUCUUUAACAUGAUGUGAACAACUAGGGAAUUGGCCAUGACGGCACUCCAAAAUGAACUACACACUCGCACUACAUUGGACUGCAGAUGAACCUACACGAGGCUUAAAAAUCGAUCAAACCCAAAAGGGGGUCAUGGCGGUGCCAUACGAAAAAAAUUAGGUGCAUGUGACACCCCUAAGAUAAAUGCAAGUAUCGAAGGACAAAAUUGAGGGUCUACAAAUAUGUUCCUCUUCAGUAGAGUGAAUGAACGAGUGAAACACGAGUGCGAAGUGCAAGCAAUGAAUGAGUGAAAUGAACUCUAGUAAAGAAUUCAAAUGACUAACAAUUUUGUCCCCACACAACAAUGAAGAAGGCUAAGGGAAAUGAGUCAUGCUGACCGAAUGGACUAGGGGAUCCAGGCACAAUGUCGGAGAAAGCUAAAGGAAUCUGGACACGAUUCCAAGGAAGACUAAAAGAAACCGGACACGAUGCUAGAAAAGAUCAAAAGAUCCAGACACGAUGUCGGAGUAGACUAAAGGAAAAUGGAUCAAGUCCAGGCGAGUAUCGGAGAACCCAAGGAAAUCUAGGCACGAUGCCGGAGAAAAGAUCGUAUCCGGCCGAGUACCGGAGAAUACGAGACAGACAGGGAAUCGAAUCUGGGCGAGUACCGGAGAAUCCAAGACAUAAAGGAUUGUAUCCGGCCAGGUACCGGAGAAGAGAUCGUAUCCGGGCAAGUACCGAAGAAUACGAGACAGACGGGGGAUCGAAUCCGGGCGAGUACCAGAGAAGGGUCCAGGCGAGUACCGAGAAAAAGUCGAAUUUGGGCAAGUACUAGAGAAGGGUCCAGGCGAGUACCAGGAAAGAGGUAGAAUCCGAGUGAGUACCGGAGAAAGGUCCAGGCGAGUACCGAAAAAUGGUCGAAUCCGAGCGAGUACCGAAGAAGGGUCCGAGCAAGAACCGGGAAAGGGUCGAAUCUGGGUGAGUACCGGGAAAGGGGUAGAAUCAGGGCUAGUACCUAGGAAGGGUCGAAUCUGGGCGAGUACCGAAAAACCCAAAAAAAUUAGCCAAGCACAACAACACAAGGAAAGAGGGUGUAUGCCCUAGUAUGAACAUGAGAACGCUGCUAAAUGAUUCAAAUAAGCAAGAAAUCAAACAUCUCAAUCACGAAAGACGAAAGAGUAUGCCUCAAUGUGACGUCUAGAAAAUGUGAAUAAAUGACAAGCGAGAAAACAAGAACACCACUAACAAGAUAGAAAGAAAUGGGGUAUGCCCCUAUAGGACAACUCAAAAAUGUGACUAAAGGUGAAAAGAAAGGGUUAUGCCCCAAUCUAAGAUAUCCAUACCAUGUCAGAAUCCCAUAACCGUACAUAUGGUCAAAGUUAGAGAGCUAAAAACAUCACAAACAUUCAUUCCUAGAACAACAUCGACUUUAUUCCGCGACAUCCAAUAUCCACCAAAAAAAUUUGAUAGGGGGUAUGCCCCAGUGUGUACAUCUGAUAUGCAAGUGCCUCGAUAAAAAAACAACUCUGAAAUAUAUCACUGAAGACCCAAUCGUCUGGAUAAGCGAACAUGACAAAGUAUGGGGUAUGCCCCAGUGUGCACACCCACUAGGUCGACGAACACGCAUGAAUAUGAUCCCAGACCAUCUCUCAGAAGCAAGUUGUUGUAUAAAGAAACCAAGCUGAAUGUGGGGGCCUACUCAAACACUGAUGCCAAGCGUCACCUGGUGAAAUGGGUUGUCUGCGUCCCAGUGUAAGAACUGAUGAUAGGGGUAUGCCUUAGUAUGAAUAUAACAAACCAACAAGCGGAUGGGGUCCUGGACAGUCUCGACUCUCUGCAUCAUCUGUCUAUAAUCAUGACCAAAGGCGAGGAGACGAAACAGAAAAGCAGUAUGUGAUCCUCGAUAUCCUUCAAAAAAUGAAGCCCUAUCAGCAUCACGUACUUCAAUCAGUAGACGGAGCUUGUCCAAAUGAAAUGCGUCGAAGCAAACACGAGACCUCAUGGCCUCAUGGUGGUCUUACGACUCGGACCAUAAUGAAGACUAGGGGUAAAAGAUGAAUGAAACAGCGGGAAACAAAGGCCCAAAUACCCAAUAGAUAAUGUCAAGCCUUUAUGUGCACAAUGUCAAAUAUCGGAGGACCAUGUGAGUAAGGUGACUCAACCCUACAUUCAAAUUAACAAUGUCCAACGACAGGUGAUGUGCACCAAAGAACACGUUGUUCAUGAAGCAAGACAAUGAUCGACGAGGGUAAAAGAAGACGAAAAUGGGUCAGACGAAUGAUGAAUGGGUGUACAAGAAAAUGAAGAAACAAGUUGGGAUAAAAGUGUAGCAAUGUGUGAUAAUGACGAAUAACUCAUCCCAUGAACUCCAAAUUAAAGCAAGUCACUGUAUGAUGGGAAUGGUGAUAUAGAUAAUGAUCCAAGGAACCUAGUGCAAAGAAAACCUAAACCUCACUCCCAAUAUGUCUCUCAGAUCCAUGGAGAAAAAUAUCGUACAAUGCUCUCACUAACUCUCAGAAGAAUAAUAAGUCUCUCAAACCCAAAAUGACCUAUGAUGAUCAAGCCGUGAUACUGUCGGCAAACCAUGCAAAACCCAAAUAUUAAUGACAUGAACAUCGAACAAGCACAAGUUUUUUUUUUUUUUUUACGGAACAAUCGACAAAGUAAGCCAAUGGCCAUACCAACAUGAUCUGACAAAUGUACCUCAAAUCCCAAACCCAAAUGGUCCCCUCAAACUAAAACUCCUAGAUCAAAACCUAAGGGUGGAACGAAGGGUGUGACAAGUAUAACCUGCAGCUUCAAGACGAGAGCGCGUCAUCAUCACACAAGGGAAGAUAGAAGCGAAAAGAAUCGAAAUGAUAGAAACAAAACUCAAAGACAUACAAAGUGAAGAUGCACAAUGUAGGAAAGAAGAAAUCAUGAAUGACCCAAAAAUGAAACAAACGAACAAUGACACAAUGGAGUCACAAUACUCACCGAUCCAGACAAUAAAUGCAAAGCGCACAAGAGGAGGCCCCCAACCCAAGUGAGAAAAGGUAUGCAAGGCUAAGUGAACGAAUAGGUCAUAAUGAAUCGUGUGAGGCUCAACGGGCUAGCAAUGGGAUAUAUCAAUGUGUGGGUAUGCAACAGGGAAUAUGGCUAUUCAAAACGAUGGCCACCCAUCCUCUGACCAUGAUCUCACGCGUAAAACUUCUUCAGCUGAUCCACAUUGACUAGCUCCAAAAACUGAUUUUCUUCUAGAUCUGUCAACCAGGCACCUCCCUCUCGGGUCAAAUCUUAGAUAACAUAUGGCCCGCUCCAGCUCGGUCUGAACUUGCCUCUAGGGUUGCUGAUCAAUCCCUUGAGGACCUUCAAAACUAGGUCACCUUUAUGGAAUUUCCUAGGCUUAACCCUCUUCCUGAAUGCAUGGGUCAUUUUCCUCUGAUAAGCUUGAACAUGAUUUGUUGCCCUCAAUUUCCUCUCAUCUAGAAGGCUAAGUUGAUCAUAACGAGACUGAGCCCAUUCGGUCUUGGAUAUCUACUGCUCUAAUGCUACUCUCAAAGAUCCCAUCUCAAUCUCAACAGGUAGCACUGUCUUUAUACCAUACACCAAGGAGUAAGGCGUUGCUUCGGUCGAAGUACGAAAAGAAAUGCAAUAAGCCCAUAGCUCGAAAGGGACCUUCUCUGACCAAUCCUGAGAAGUCUUAACCAUCUUCCUCAAAAUCCGCUUAAUAUUCUUAUUGGCGGCCUCAACUGCCCCAUUAGUCUACGGCCUAUAUGCAGACGAUCUAUGAUGCUGAAUGCCAUACUCCUGAACCAAUGUAUCCACCUCGCCUCUGAAAUGCACCCCUCUGUCUGAGAUCGGCUCAUGAGGGACCCCAUGUCGGCAGAUGAUCUGUGAUCUGAUGAACUUAGCCAUCUUGGCCGUUGUCAAUUUGGCGUAAGAAGCGGCUUCCACCCACUUGGUGAAGUAAUCAAUGGCUACUAAGAUGUACUUAUGCCCGCUGGAAGACUUGGGCGAGAUCUUUCUAAUAAUAUCAAUACCCCACACUGAAAAUGGCCAAGGGGAUGUGAGUGCAUGCAACUCUGAAUGUGGCAUGUGAAUGAGAUCACCGUGCAUCUGGCACUCUAGGCACCUCUGAACGAACUGACAACAAUCUGCCUCCAUGGUCAACCAGAAAUAACUUGUCUUCAUAAUCUUUCGGGCCAACAUGUGUCCUCCCAUAUGUGGGCCACAAACUCCUGCAUGAACCUCUCUCAUCACUCGAUCUGCAGAGGCAUAGUCUAGACAUAACAACAAUAGGUCAUCGGACGAUCAUCUGUACAAUGACUCUCCACAAAUCACAAAUCUAGUGGCUAACUGCCUCAAAGCUCUCUUAUCCUUGAUAGUGGUUGACUCAAGGUAAACUCCACAUGAUAGAAACUAAUAAAUAUCAUGGUACCAUGGUAGUCCAUCCCGAUCCUCAAUAUUUCCAAUCAGACAACAAUAUGCUGGUGCGGACCUGGUCUCAAUCAACAAUGGUCGCAUAGUCACUCCCGUAAGGAUCUCAAUCAUAGAAGCCAAGGUGGCUAGCGCAUCAGCAAACUGAUUUUCUACCCUGGGCAGAUGUAUAUAUCUCAACUCCUCAAACCUAUCAACCAACAAAUCCAAAUAAGCAUGAUAGGGUUUCAACUUCUCAUUCCGAGUCCUCCAAAUACCCUAAGUCUGCUGAAUAACCAAGUUGGAAUCCUCGUGGAUUUCCAACUAUCUAACUCCAAGAUCGAGCGCAGUCUCUAGACCUGUAAUGCAUGCCUCGUACUCAACAACAUUAUUCGUCAACCGGUGAUGAUCAGAGAAUGCCAACCGGACUAAUCUGGGAAUAUGAUCACCCUGAGGUGAUAUCAAUAGGAUGCCAAUACCAAACCCCGACUGAUUGGCGGCACUAUCAAAGUACAACCGCCAUCCUACAAUACUAGUCACUGAGACAAACUGCUCAUCAGGGAAAUCAUCGUCAACCGGUUUUUCAUCAAAUAUUGGCAAAAAAAGCCAAAUGAUCUACAACAAUGCUCCAUUUUACUGAUUUUUGUGUGACAUACUGAAUAUCAAACUCUGUCAGUGGCACUAACCAUCUCAUGAGCCUACCAGUUAAAACAGGUCUGUCGAACAGAUAUCUCAAUGGAUUUAAUUGAGACCAAUAAUAUGGAAUACUUGGUCACAUAGUGUCUCAACCUUCUGGUGCCCCAAACCAGUGUCAAACAGAGGCGCUCAAUCAUAAUGUAUUUGCACUCAUACUUGAACAUCCACUUACUCAGAUAAUAAAUGGCUCGCUCUUUUCCUAAAUCAUCAAGCUGAGCUAACAUGCAUCCCAUGGCAAUGUCUGAUACUGACAAGUACAGAAGCAGAAGGCGCCCUGGCGUAGGCGGUACUAAAACUAGAGAAGAAAUGAGACACUUUUUAAUCUUCUCAAAAGUGCACUGGCAAUCAUCAUCCCAAACUGUAGGCUGACUCUUCCUCAGAAGACGGAAGAUGGGCUCGCAUAUGUUUGUCAAUCUGGCAAUGAAACAACUGAUAUACUGUAAUAUGCCAAGAAAGCCUCUGAUCUCUCUCUCAGUUCUCGGAGUAGGCAUGUCAAGUAUGACUCCGAUCUUCUCUGGAUUAACCUCUAUACCACGCUCAUUAACGAUAUGCCGCAGCAAUUUCCCAAAAGUUACCCCAAAGGUGCACUUCUUGGGAUUCAACCUUAACUUGAACUAUCUUAUCCUCUCAAAAAAUCUCUGUAAGGCUGCUAAGUGAUUUGCCCUGUCUUGAGACUUCACUAUCAUGUCAUCCACAUAUACGUCAACAUCUCUAUGUAUCAUGUCAUGGAAUAGAGUAGUAGCAACUCUCUAAUAGGUGGCUCCUACACUCUUCAACCCAAAUGGCAUAACCCGGUAGUAGUAAGUACCCCACUCAGUGAUGAAAGAAGUCUUCUCCAUAUCCUCUAAAGCCAUCAAAAUAUGAUUAUACCCAGAAAAAUCAUCCAUAAAUGAUAACAUCGAAUGCCCUACAGUACUAUCAACCAACAUAUCAAUGUGUGGGAGGGAGAAAUCAUCUUUAGGACUGGCCUUAUUCAGAUCUCGAAAGUUAACACAAACUCUAACUUUUUCAUCAUUUUUAGGAACAGGAACGACAUUAGCCAGCCACUCAAGAUAUUCGACCACUGACAGGAAACCAACACUGAGUUGUUUCUGAAUUUCUUCCUUAACCUGCAAACUCCAUCGAGGGUGUAAUCUCCUCAAUUUCUACUUAACUAGUCUAACAUGUGGUAGGAUAGGCAAGCGAUGUUGGACUAUAGAGGGAUCAAGGCCUGGCAUGUCCUCAUAUGACCAUGCAAAUACAUCCAGGUAUGACCUAAGUAGGUCAAUCAGUCUGCUCCUCUCGUCAGGAGAUAAGGAAGUGUCAAUCUUCAGUUCCCUGGGCUGAUCAGGGGUCCCAAAAUCUACCAACUCAAUGCUACCAGAAAUGGGUGUUACUUUCAUUUCCUCUUAAUCUAAAUCAAAAUCCGACUGAUCACUCAAUGGGCCAUUUGGGCCUCUCACAUCAUCAACAUCAUGUAUAUAUGUCGUGGGUGUCGGUGGUACAAUCAAAGGAAAAUGCAAUGACACAGGUGAAUACUCGAAAACACUCAUAUCAUUAUUAUUUCCACCAAUCACAUCAUCAAAACGGGUGACAAACCUAGGCAUAGUGUUAAAAUAAAGAGGUGGGUCCACACAAUCGAACGUUCCCUCAACACUAAUAACAUUAGAAGUAACAACAGUAACAGAGGCACCAUCAUCUAUCUCAAGCAUAAAAGCCCCAAACAUAUCCAAAGUAGAACGAGGCCCGUGCGAGGCUGCAUCCAAAAUACAACUAGUGUCAAUCAUAUCCAUCUCGUCUAUGCAAGCAUCAUAAAGAGUCACAUCAUCAGUGUCGAUCAUAGAAACUCCGAACAAAUCGAAAUCAGAGUGGGAACCGUGUGGGACUGCAUCGAGAAUACGACCUACCCCUAUCAUGUCCAUCUCGUCGGUACAAGCAUCAGGCAGAGUCACUCCAUCAGCAUCAAUCACAGUAUCCAUAAGUACAUCAUAAUCAGAAACUGCCUCCGGGAAGCAUAUGGAGAACAUGUUGGCUCGGUCGGGCGAUGGGGAUGCAACUAUCAUAACAUCAAGUGUCUUAGGGAUCCCGGUACCCAAAUGCAUUUGCACCAAGGUUCGCUGGAGGUCCUGAACCUCAACAGCCUCUGAAAUACAAACGAUCCCUUCCAUGUGGGGUGCAUGAUCUGAACCUCUGACAAAGUAAUCAGUCAACUGAAAGGUGUACAGGCGAAUGGGGCAAUCAAAUGGUACCCCAGACGAGCGGGCCCUUACUCUGUCCUUGCACAGUCGCGCCAUGUAACGUGCAUCCUCCUCCAUAGGAGUGUAACCUAACCCAUAAGGUAUGUCAUGAUCAACUGUGAAAGUAAACUCGCGUGGUCCAUGUUGGUGGCGACCCAAUCCCAAGCCGGGCAGAUAAGACAUGCUCCUCAUCAUGUUAAGCACCAAUGUGCUACUGUACUGGUUGAAUGACAUAAGCACCAUAUCUCUGUUGUCAUCCUCUAAACUGACAACCUGAACCUCAUCAAAAGUAAACCCGAUCAAAUGCAAGUCAUCCUCAUUGUGACUAAUUUGUAAUACUGGCUUGGAAGAAGUGACAACAUCCCGGUCAGACUGUAUCAUGAUAAUGCGACCCUCGUGUAUGAACUUCACCUUAUGAUGAAGGGAAGAUGGUAUGGCACCAGCCUCAUGAAUCUAAGGAUUACCAAGAAACAAGUUAAAGAAUGACUGAAUCCUCAGAACCUAGAAAAGCACUGAAUAUUUGAUUGGUCCAAUCAUAACGUGUGUAGUGAGAAUACUCAUAAUUGUCCUCUGAGUCCCAUCAUAAGCUUUAACGGUCUAUGUAGAUGGCCCAAAAUCAGAUGGAGAAAAGCCAAGGGCAAUGGCUGUAACUAAAGGACAAACAUUCAAGGUGGAGCCGUUGUCCAACAAGAUCGACAACACUCUAUGGCCUGACGAGCAACAUCAAUGAACAAAGGUCGAACAUGAUCUGACCCCUCUGGUGGCAAGUCAUCGUUAGAAAACACAAUGCACGCAGCCCUAUCAGCUGUCAGAAAGUGAAUCAGCUCCUUUGGGGUGGUAGCAGUAUCAACUCUAAUCUGACUGGGAGCUCUGAUCAAUGCAUCUCUAUGUGUGCUAGAUGAGGCUAAGAGGCUCCAAAUGGAUAUGCGAGCCUGCGUAGUGCGUAGUUGGCGCAAAAUCUCAUCAUCCUCUCUGUGAAUCUCCUCCCUAGCAACUGUACCAACAAAUAGCCUAUCGACAGGUGGAGGAUGUGCUACUCUCCUACUCCGUGUGACUAUCUGAAUAUCUCUAUGAGCGGACCCAUACCCCUCCAAGAACAGAAUGAAGGGUGUCAAAUGUGGCACAUGUUGUAAAUACACUAGUGAGACUACGAUCUGUCGGGGAAUCUCAUAUGGGGCUAACCUGAAUGGCCUGGGGACUUGCUGUCCAUGGGUAUAUCCACUAAAAUUUGAGUCCUCGUACAAAUUGAUCAGCUAAGAAGCCUCUCCAUCCCAUCCCAUCAUAAAUACAUUACCCUCUGUGUGCUCAAUCAAAUGGAUUCCCCUUAGGGGUGGAGGUACAGCUCUAGUGUCAUGAGUAGGUAACGGGUCUGUGGUCAUUGCAGGUCAUCCCAAAUCAACCAAACCCUGAUCAAUCAAGUCCUGUAUAGCAUGUCUUAGUGCUGAGUAACUGUCUAUAUCAUGGCCCAUUCUCUGGUGGUAAGCACAGUGAAGGUCUGUUCUGAAUUCUGGUGGGGUAGGCUAUAGUGGUGGUCUGGGCGGUAACUAGGCAAUCAAUUCCCUCUCAACCAAUCUCUGAAAUGCUCUGCUCAAUGGCAUCCCAAGCUAUGUGAACUGUUUAGCUGACCUUGGCGGAGGCGGUGCUCUAUACUGAUGGAACUGCAUGGAUGGCCUCUGGGAUGCUUGUGUAACAUAUACUAGUUGUGACGACGAAUGUAGAUAAGCUGACCCUGCUAGCCUAAUGGGAAUAGUUGGCCUGUACUGAUCAUGCUGUAUCAUCUGAUAAGAGGUAUCUGAAAACUGCCUCUGAGUCUGAGGCUGACGUGAGGACCUAUGCCCCAUCAUACCAAUGGCGCCAACAUCCGAUGGCCUGGGUCCUGACCCCGACUUCUUCCACUUUGAGUUUGAGGGGGAAGAAUCUACCCAUAAUCCUCUAUAUAUACCCUCAUCCAUGCCAUAGAGGGCAUGUACUAAGGAGCCAAAAUUUGUAUGCGAAAAGCCCAUGAGAUGUCUAGCAUAGCGGAGCUAAAAACGGCGCAUAAUCAUACUGAUCCGAUCACGCUCUAAGGGUAUGUUAAUAAUUUGUGCUAUCUUCUCCCUCCAGCGUGAGAUGAAGGAGGUAACUAUCUCAUCCGACCUUUGUUUGAGGGCCUCUAAAUCUAUCCGGGAUACAUCAACUACAGUAUUAAAGGAAUACUGUCUGAGAAACUCCUGUGCCAGAUCAGUCCAUGUUGGGCGUCGUGAGGGGUCUAAUGAAGCAAACCACCACUGGGCAACACCACUCAGGACAGAGGGAACAACGUGAUCAUCUAUGUCUUGUCUAACCUAUGCCCGCACAUAAUAGCACUAUACAACUGCAAGUGAAUACAGGGACACCCGAUCCCCUGUAUCUCUCAAUGUCCAGCAUGCGAAACUCAACCGGCAAAGCUGCAACAGGCAGGUCAUCAUACCCAUCCCAACUUAUGACUCCAUCGGUGACAUGCAGUGACCUCAUUCUCUGCUCAAUCCUCUCAAUAUGGGCCUGAAUAUCAUCUGCAACUUGUGCAGGGGCCGCAACAGAAUGUGGUGUAGUCUCAGUUUGACCAUGUAAGACAAAGGCCCCUGCUUGUGGGGCUGACUGAACUGGGGGUGGUGGUGGAGGAGGUAGGAUUGUGUAGUCCGGCUGUAUGGUAGGUCUGGGUGGUGGUGGUGGUGGUGGGGGUGUGGAAUAAUCAUGUGGGUGGUCCCCUGAAUCGGUACUGGUGGGGCCUGGUGCCCUUCAAUCCUCUGACCUAGUCCUAAAAUAACAUCUUUGAGUGACGUCAUGGUAUCUGUAAUCUCAGCCAACUAGCCAACAGUAGCAUGCUACGGGUCCAUAUCUCUCUGAACUGAUGUCUGUUCUGACUGGCUACACUGGUUUGAUCCUCUAACAAGUCUGUCUCCGACCCUGAUCCAAGCUUGAGAACCCAGGUCGGUCUCAAUCAACAAUCCUACAAAAGAAAAAGGGUAUGUCAAUCCCCAUGACUACCAGUCCUGAAAUCAAUUCUAUAAUGUAAUCCCACGACUAAAUCCUCUGAGGGAAUGAACUGUCAUGUGAUGUUAAUAGCUAAUCUAAUACAUGGCUCCACGGGUAGGAGCAGGAUUCUGACAUGGUGAUACCUUAGGGGUAAGGUGGUUCAAAAUCCAACAACGGGAAAAUACAAGUCCUAAAAGCUAGAUGGCAGUACCCACAAAGGGGAUAUGCAACCUAUGAUUCUAACCAACAAUCAAAGUGACACUCUGGCCACGCAAGUAUCCACGAAAUCCAGCUCAAGGCUAUGCAGGUCUUCAUUGCUCGGAUAUUCGUCAUCUUCAUAGUGCUCCCAAACAUUGAUAUAGCCCUUAUGCUAGACCCUAUUCCAAACCCCUAGCUUGGUCGAAGGCAAACAGUUAGGAAUGACUCCUAAACAAUUCAAGAAACCAAUAAGGAAUAGUCGACCAAGACUAGUGAUUCAGAAAUAAGGGGAUACAAGCGCGCCCCACAAACACAAACGAUAAGCAGUCAUGCAAGAGAAAGGGCAGUCAUGUAGGAAACAGUCAUGCGCAAAGAGAUACCCUACCAUACAAUCUACACACAAGUUAAUCAUCUAAGCCUAUCAUAAACCGCAAAACCAAGAACCAACAACAACGAAUAAGCAUGCCACAACCAAUCAGGUGAACACACAAGCAACAACGUAUCACAAGUGCAAGUCAAAUACCAACCAAGUAAGUGAUCACCAGUCACCUAUAAAGCCUAAGAGUAAAUUGGUCAAUGAACCAUGUGCUCCAAUAUACCCAACUCAAGUUCAAGUUUGAUCCUCUUAUGAAACCAGAGAUUCUGGGUUCGAUCCCCAGUGGAGUCGCCAAUUUGUGGACCCUCACCCGAUCCACCGAUCAGUGUGACUCACUAUUUUAAAGGUGAAAGGGAAAGUUGGUUUUCGAGUUUUGAAAAUUUCAUCCCAAUGAGGAAUGGUUUUGUUUGGAGUCGCCACUUACUUUUUAUUUUUAUUUUUAAAUGAGGAAAUUUUCAGUAAGAACAAAAACCCUAGCAUGACUCCAGUCAGGAAAAAGCGGUCUGCAAAAACUAGAUUCUAGGUCUAGGGAUCAGGUUACCUAUUGGGAAAGUACCUCAUGCAAGGUAGCACGCCUCUAGGCCCGGAACUCGGUCUCUACUAAUGAACUGGGUAUAUGGGAGCAUAUGGGUCAAAGAUCAAACAAACUUUGGGCUAAACAAAUGACAUGAAUCACAUAGACCCACCUAGUAUUUAGCAUGCACAUAGACUCAACAAGUCAAAAUCAGAGUGCAUACUUGAGGUCCCCAGCCAAGCAUUGCAUAAGAGGUUAGUCAAUAAGCUCAAAUGCACAAAAAAUAUACAUAGCAAUCAUGCACCAAGCAUUCAUGUGAAUUUCAUUAUCCAAAGCCAAAGUGCAUACCUGUGGUCCCCAGCCACGUGCUGCAACGAAAAGGUGAGGAAAGUAAUACAAGCAUACAACAUGCACUCUUAAUCAAACAUCAAAUCUCAUACCCAAAAGGGAGGAAAGUAGGUCAAAAUGAAAUAAAUGGUUUGCUUUCUUUUGCACACAUUCCUCUAAAUUCCAUCAAACCAAACCAUGCUCGCUUAAUCCACAUUUUUCCCAUCCAUGAAGUGGGCUCACAUAAAAUCUAACCAAACCGAACUUUGACCCUAAAGGUGGCCUACAAGUGCCUUAGAGCCUAAGGGCUCAAGCCACAACAAAAAUGGGGGUCAAAACAUGCUAAAACUAGGGCUGCCUAGCACAACCUAUUGAACCCAUUCAACCGAUUGAGAAAAAUUUUGAAACUUUACCAGCAGAUUCCUCGAAGAAUAAGAAAUCCAGCAAAAAAAAUGGAACUCAAUUCCGAGCCCGGAUGAAGAAGAACCGGCCGAAACAAUGCAACGUGUUUAUUUUUCACUUCAAUAGUGGAGACAAGUGAGUGAGCUAGUCAUGCGGGGACGCAUGGGAAAAUGGUCAGCUGGCUACCGUCGGCGGGACUCCCAUCUAAAAAAGCUACCCGAACCUACUCCUAUGUAUCCCGACGAGGGAAUGAGGGCCUCAAAGGAGAUGCGCUGCUCAUGCCAUGGUGGCAAAGGAAGCCAUCCUGUUAGGCAUUAAUCCAUUAACACAAAACUUUCCAGAACUGGACAGGCUUAUCUCUUAUAUCCAAGCCUCUGUUAUUCUCCAAUACAGGCUCAAACACAUAGACAAGAACUCUAAUAUCGUAAAAAAAAAAAGUAGAAAGCAUAGAUGAAAACAUUAAAGAAAAAAAUACAAGGGAAUGGUGAGCAAAAGAUGAACAUAAAUAGCCUCAGUUCAGGAGUAGAUUCAUGGGUUGAAACGGGGAAACAAUUCAAAACAGAUUUUUAACAUGAACAAAAUCAAACGAGAUCAAUGGCAUCAACUGAAUGAAGAACAUAGCAAACAGAUAAAGAACCAAUUUCAAUCUAACAAUUUAUGGCCCUUUUCGUCCACACCAAUCAAUGAAACAUUAAAUAUUCCGAAACAACCAGAAGGAGGAAUUGAAUAUAAGCAAGAAUUCUGAGAGUAAUUAGAAACGUACCCUAAAAGAACUAGACUUUGAGAGGUGUUCCUCAGCUUCAAGUGAGAUUGAUUAUCUUUCUGAAAAAUCCACUCAAGACAGGUGAUCACGAUCUUUUUUCUUCUUUCCAAAGCAAACAAAAUUCCUCUCUUUUUUUUUUUCCUCAAGAUCCUUUUUCUUUCCCGUUCUCUCUGUUUUUCUUUAAAAAUCUUUCCCACUUUUUCCUCUCAGACCUCCGUUUUUCUUUUUCUCUAGGUGAAAAACCCUUAGAGACCCCUAGACUCUUCUCCCACGCUUUCAGUUUCCCUUCCUGCAGAGUCUCCCCCCAGAUUUCUCAAAAACCCCCCAUUUUUUCCUCUACAAACGUCUCCUCUUUUCCUUUCCUUUCCAACUUCCCUCCUCAACAUCUGCACCACACCUUUUUAUUUCUCUUUCAGCUCUGGAAAUCCCCACCUUCAUCCUUGAAACCCCAACUCAUUUAUCUCCCAUCUUCCCAAGGUGAGCAACUGCCCCUCAUAACUUCAUAAUUCCUUGCCUGCCAAGAAUCCACAUGGAUUCAAGCUGGGUUGCAAUCAACCCGAAAAAUGGCCCAAAUCGGACAUAAAACCAUCCUCCUAACCCAUUUGGAGCACUAAGGCUUGAACCAUCCUGAACAAGAGCACCAAAAAUGCCAAAAGCAGAGCCAUUUGCAAGCAGCCCUGACGAACCGGUCGACCUCCUAAAAAAAAAAUUGAACCAAUUGAACCGGUUGACCAUCAGUUUUAACGGUUGAUAAAAAUACUCAUAUUUUGAUACAAUAUUCCUUGAAGAAUAAGUAAUCCAACAAAAAAAACGGUGAGCAAUUCCGAGUUCGGAUGAGGGAGAUAUGAUCGAAACAAGCCCAAGUGCUCCAUAUUCAAACCUGCUCCUAUGAACUCCAACUGAAUUGAAGUUUUGGGGAGACCUCACUUCCUUCCUUUAGCAUAAUGUGAACAACUAGGGAAUUGGCCAUGAUGGCACUCCAAAAUGAACUAAACACUCGCACUAUAUUGAACCGCAAAUGAACCUACACAAGGCUUGAAAAUCGAUCAAACCCAAAAGGGGGGCAUGGCGGUGCCAUGAGGAAAAAAUUGGGUGCAUGUGACACCCCUAAGAUAAAUGCAAGUGUCAAAGGAAAAAAUUGAGGUCUACAAAUGAAUUCCAAAUUUAUUACAUCAUGUCAUGCUUUUAAGGGCUUUAUCCUAACAUUAUAUAUUUGAGAUAAACAUGAUAUAAUGAGAUUUAUGUUUCUUUGCUAUAAUAUUUCAAUAAGUAAUUGUGUUUUAAUUUUAAUAAACUAUGCAUGCAUGAAACAAUUCAAGUAUCAUUGGCAUCAUUGGUAUCAUUGUGAGACAAAAGUUUCUCUUAUUACAUACUAAAGAGAUUUAAGUUAUCAAAAAGUGAAAAUGGUUUUAUCUAGGCUAGUUUCAAGUUGACAACUUUUAAAUUAUUUAUCAUGUGAUAAAGAACUUUUCCCCACAAAUGAUACUUGAAUUGUCUAAUUAGACAGUGUAGGAAAACAUAAUAUCUAUGAAGUUAAUUGUUUGUUCUUAAUUCAAUUUUUAGAAAUUUUGGUAGUCUUUCCUCUUAUUUUCUAGGUGCAUAUUUGGAUAAAGUUGCAUAGUAUGCCUUGUCCAUUUUACAUACUUAGAGAACUAUAGGGAAAUUCUACUAAAAUUUCUUUAAAAUGAAAUUGACCACAUUGGUCAUUGACACAUAGAGAUUAUGUAUUUCUAUAUGGGAUAGGAACUACUACCGAAUUUAGGAUGUUGGACAUGUUAGAAUGCAUAAAACAUGCAUCAAAAUUUGACAUACUCAAAUGAUUUUCUUUGUGUUGCUUAAGGAGUUUAUUGAGAAAAUUGUUAUGGACAAUGUUUGAUGCAAAGGCCAUGGACAAACCGAAUAUAACAAUAUUAAUAUGCACUAGUUUUAUUGAGGUUAUACAUCCAUUUUAAUGCAAGAUUCAUGGUCAACAACAUUUAUAACUUUUUAAUCACUACUACAAAUAAGAUAUACCAUGACCUUGUUUUUUCCUUGGCACUUUUAAAAAUGUUAAUAAUUAGCGUGAUAUUUCAAAAGUGUAGAUCUAUGUUCAUAGAUCAAAAUGGUUAGAACAAUGCUUACUCUUUUUCUUUUAAAUUUGGCAUCUUAAACAAAUGUUGAACUACAUUUUCUUGAUUAUUAUUUGAACAAAAAAAAAAAAAAGGUUGUUAAACAAAUAGCAUGGAAAAUGUUGCUAUUUUCUUCAAUUUGAAGUUUGAUCACUAUUGAAAGUUUGUUCUUAAAAAAUGGAUUGUUUGUGGAUUUCAAAGGAUAGAGGAUUAAAGGAGUAUGAGGAUGGGGUAGAACAUUUUUAUCACAUUUGCAAUAUAAAAUUCUGCAUAUAAAAACUCCAUUAAAAGCCCAUGCUUGUAGAGUGGUAAUAUGAUAUUUCAUAUUCCUCAAAGAUUUCCUCAAAAGAUUAGAGAGCAUAUGUUUUUCUAUAGAAUUAAUCAGAAUUACCAUAUAUGGUAUUGGCAUGGGGAAGCAACUCCAAGUGAACCACCAACUAGAAGGGUAGAACAUUAUAAUAUGGUUCAAUUUAAUGAUGUAGAUAGUACAAUAGAAAUGGUUGAAGUUGUACAAGUUGAAUGUCAAAAUGACCUAAAAUUGCUUGAAAGAUUACUUUAAAUUGUUGAAAAACCUUUUAUAUCCUAGUUGUAGAAAAUUCACACAAUUGUUUGCAUUGGUUAAAUUAUACAACUUGAAAACACACUGAGUGGUUUGAUAAAAGCUUUUCAGAGCUUUUAAAAAUGCUUAGAUAUAUGUUGCCUCGAAAUAAUGAGUUACCCUUGUCUAUGUAUGAAGCAAAAAUGACAUUGAAUACAUUAGGAAUGGAAUAUGACAAAAUACACACAUGCCCCAUGAUUGUAUACUUUACAGGAAUAAGUUGAAAGAUGCAUUUUCAUGUCCUAUUGAUUCGUCCCCAGUUGGUGUAAUCUUGAUUCAGUCCUGUGAUGGGAGUUAUCAACAAAAUUUAUAAACCUAAUUCACCAUAUACUAGGGUAGCAUAGCUAGCAUAGCAUAGUGGUUCUAGGAUCGUCCACAGGGAUGGGUUUUCACUUCACACAUGAUAUUAGUUUAAAGAACUGGAUUAGUGCUUUUUCUUUUCUAAGUUAGCUUUAAAAAAAAACAUAAGUUUGAUUGAAAAGGAUUGGUUUUAAAUUAACCAAAAAUAGUAACUAAGAUUAAUUACAAAGAAAAGGUUUAUUGGAGUUUUAGGUCACUAGGUUCAGGUUCCUUAUACAAAUAUAGAGAUUCCGGAUCUUUUCCUUGCAUUAGGGAUUUAACCUAUAGUUAUCUCCCAAACCGGUGUGUUACAGUUGCUUCCCAUUAAUGGUUUCAAACACUAAAUUCCUCUCAUUGAAUCAUCUUGCAAUGGCUCAUACCUCUCACCUAGUAUUGGACAUUCAAGGUGAUUCUUAACCUUGGAUUACCCUUCAAAAGUUCGC